GACAGAGGUGCCGAGCGUUAGGCGGAAUCACUGGGCGUAAAGCGCACGUAGGCGGAUGUGUCAGUCAGGGGUGAAAUCCCGGAGCUCAACUUCGGAACUGCCUUUGAUACAGCACGUCUUGAGUCCGGAAGAGGUGGGUGGAAUUCCUAGUGUAGAGGUGAAAUUCGUAGAUAUUAGGAAGAACACCGGUGGCGAAGGCGGCCCACUGGUCCGGUACUGACGCUGAGGUGCGAAAGCGUGGGGAGCAAACAGG
rnacentral:rRNA from 1 species